AACGAACGCUGGCGGCAGGCUUAACACAUGCAAGUCGAACGGGUGCAGCAAUGCAUCAGUGGCAGACGGGUGAGUAACACGUGGGAACCUUCCUAGGGGUACGGAACAACUCAGGGAAACUUGAGCUAAUACCGUAUGUGUCCGAGAGGAGAAAGAUUUAUCGCCCUUAGACGGGCCCGCGUCGGAUUAGCUAGUUGGUGGGGUAACGGCCUACCAAGGCGACGAUCCGUGGCUGAUCUUAGAGGAUGAUCAGCCACACUGGGACUGAGACAUGGCCCAGACUCCUACGGGAGGCAGCAGUGGGGAAUCUUGGACAAUGGGCGCAAGCCUGAUCCAGCCAUGCCGCGUGAGUGAAGAAGGUCUUCGGAUUGUAAAGCUCUUUUGCCAGGGACGAUAAUGACGGUACCUGGAGAAUAAGCCCCGGCAAACUUCGUGCCAGCCGCCGCUGUAA
rnacentral:rRNA from 1 species